CGGUUUUUUAAGUCUGAUGUGAAAGCCGGGGGAUCGCCGAGGAAGCGCAUCGGAAACUGGGAAACUUGAGUGCAGAAAAGGACAGUGGAACUCCAUGUGUAGCGGUGAAAUGCGUAGAUAUAUGGAAGAACACCAGUGGCGAAGGCGGCUGUCUGGUCUGUAACUGACGCUGAGGCUCGAAAGCAUGGGUAGCGAACAGGAUUAGAUACCCUGGUAGUCCAUGCCGUAAACGAUGAAUGCUAGGUGUUGGAGGGUUUCCGCCCUUCAGUGCCGCAGCUAACGCAUUAAGCAUUCCGCCUGGGGAGUACGACACGCAAGGUUGAAACUCAAAGGAAUUGACGGGGGCCCGCACAAGCGGUGGAGCAUGUGGUUUAAUUCGAAGCAACGCGAAGAACCUUACCAGGUCUUGACAUCUUUUGAUCACCUGAGAGAUCAGGUUUCCCCUUCGGGGGCAAAAUGACAGGUGGUGCAUGGUUGUCGUCAGCUCGUGUCGUGAGAUGUUGGGUUAAGUCCCGCAACGAGCGCAACCCUUAUGACUAGUUGCCAGCAUUGAGUUGGGCACUCUAGUAAGACUGCCGGUGACAAACCGGAGGAAGGUGGGGAUGACGUCAAAUCAUCAUGCCCCUUAUGACCUGGGCUACACACGUGCUACAAUGGAUGGUACAACGAGUUGCGAGACCGCGAGGUCAAGCUAAUCUCUUAAGCCAUUCUCAGUUCGGACUGUAGGCUGCAACUCGCCUACACGAAGUCGGAAUCGCUAGUAAUCGCGGGAUCAGCACGCCGCGUUGAAUACGUUCCCGGGCCUUGUACACACCGCCCGUCACACCAUGAGAGUUUGUAACACCCGAAGCCGGUGGCGUAACCCUUUUAGGGAGCGAGCCGUCUAAGGUGGGACAAAUGAUUAGGGUGAAGUCGUAACAAGGUAGCCGUAGGAGAACCUG
rnacentral:rRNA from 2 species